rnacentral:precursor_RNA from 1 species
UGCCACUACACUCCAGCCUGGGUGAAUCGCUUGAACCCAGGAGGCGGAAGUUGCAGUGAGCCGA